rnacentral:lncRNA from 1 species
AUACAAAAAGUAAGGUUUACCUUUUCUGAUUUUCUGAGUUUAGCAGAGCCUGCAUCUGAUUGAGGUGCCACUGACGACGGUCUGCCCUGGAUGGAGGAGGGAGCGGUUGAAUCACAGCCUCGAGAACACAUGAGAAACCUUCCCAGCCAUCUCUCCAUCAGGCUAAUGAUCCAAAGAAUACUGAGGAGGCAGAAUGCUUCCCAGCAUUAGUCUCAAUCAUUAAAUCCUGGAGAAAGAGUAUGAUUUGUGCAUUAUGGGACUGUAAUUCACCUCUACCACCUUGACAGUGAUUGACACUCUCAAAUCCUACACCAAGGGUUUGGGUAGCUGUCCAAAGAGAUACAGAAGUACAACGGCUCCAAAAUGAACCAUGAGUCCAGGGCAGACAUGAGGAACAGCAUCUCCUACAAGCUCUGGAUCUUCCUUCAGGUUUUAUAGCACACAUUUGUCCAUGAGCCAGGACACAGGCAGUGCUGGCUGCGGCUGGAUGACAGAUUGAGCAUCCAAAAGAUUCUCCAACAAUUGGAAUUGAAGCCCAAAUCUAGCAAGAUGAAAUUAAAUAUGGAUUAAUGUGAAGGCCUGCACUUGUGUUCAGAGGAAGGAACAGCUGGUGGGGGCUGAGAUCAGGACGCCGGUGGUUAAUGGUAGUUUAUGUGGAAAGAUUAAAAGCUCAGAAUGUGCCAACAAUGAGAAGAUGUCCAAGAUGCUGCUGGGCUAAAGAGAUGGCUAAGAACUGGUGUGGCCUUCAUGGGCAGCUCUGAACUAUACAGCCACUCUGUCACCUAAUAGACUAAGACUCUGAGUGCCUAGCACACACCAGACUAGCUUGCACCAGUUAUAAUGUCUUGUUUAACUAACACACACACAGUGCUAUUAUUCCCAUCUUCCUCAUGAUGAAGCAAAGUAAGGGGAGGUUAAGUAACUUUCCCAAGGAUACACAACUUUGAUGGAGCCUUGGAACCCAAUCCAAAUGACUCCACAUCUUAUGCUCAUGAGCCCUGAGUCACCUGACCUCAAGAAGUGUGUCAAUUACACAAGGGAGAGAUUGGUGAGGUGCACUUAGUCUGUCCCAUGAAUUUAAAGACUCUUUCAUUCUGGAAGGUAUCAGAGUCACCAUUUCAAACAUGAGAGUCCGUGGGAAAGAACUGGAGCAUGCUGGGGCAGUAGCUGAAGAAACGCGGUCCCCCUGCAUCCGUACUUUGAGAGUGAGACGUCAGGAUGAAGUCUAUUCUGCUUAGCUGCUGGAGCUGGUGCUGGAGCAGUGGGUUUACAGCGACAUAGCUUCAUCUCAGAGUUCUGAAGAUCUUUCUGGUGUAGACUGUACUUAUACCAAACCUCAGAACACAAAUAUUAUACCAUUUACUAGACUUUUAUUAUGUGCUAAGAAUUUCUCAGUCGUGACACAGAAAGGCAUUUUCAUAAUAAAAAUCACAAGACUGGUUACUAUUACAUUGCUUACUCUAUACGAAUCGCUGCACAAUUUUAAGAAAAGGUUGCCAGCAUUAUCUCCACUUCAUAAACCACA